GUUUGUGUUUCUUUGUUACACAUUUCUUUGUUGUUAAAGUGAAUAAGAUUAUUACACAAUGUUGAUCAACUGUAUCCCUUUUUUGACAUUUACCUAAUAUGUCUGUUUGUUUUGUUCACGUAUCGUUGUCAAUAUAGUUGAAUUUUAUACGGCUGUCAUAUACAAGGAAGAGGUUUAGCUGUAUAUAAAACUAAGUUAAAUAUACAUUUUUUUACAUAAGAAAAUGUUGUACCAUGUCAGGAAUAUGACAGUUGUAAUCCAUUCAUUUGAAGAGUUUUGAGCUUUUGAUUUUGCCAUUUGACUUCGGACUUUCUGUUUUCCUCGGAGUUCGGUACUUU
rnacentral:lncRNA from 1 species